rnacentral:lncRNA from 1 species
CCUGUCUUGGGAUCUCAAGGGGCUAGAAUGAGCUGCUAUUCCAAGGGAGAGAAGAAAGCAACCCCAGGAAGCCUGGCCCCGAAGACUGUGAGGUAUGGUGGGGCCUUGCUGUGCUCUGGACUGGACAAGAGGCACCCUGGGCUCUGGACACAGCCAGAUCUUCAGCCAAUUGCAUCUCCGGCCCAGGGCAGGCCCUUUAUCUUAUAGCCCAGUGGUGCCUCUCUCCUCACCUAGGAAACAAAGCCAACAGGAUCUGCACCACCUCUGCCUCCCGGACAUUGGAAGGACUAAAUAAGAUCAGUGGCUGGUGUCCUGUCUCCAUCCUGCCUGGGAUAACACUGAAAAUCGC